AUUGAACGCUGGCGGCAUGCCUUACACAUGCAAGUCGAACGGUAACGGGCCUUCGGGUGCCGACGAGUGGCGAACGGGUGAGUAAUGUAUCGGAACGUACCUUUCAGUGGGGGAUAACGUAGCGAAAGUUACGCUAAUACCGCAUAUUCUGUGCGCAGGAAAGCAGGGGAUCGCAAGACCUUGCGCUGAUUGAGCGGCCGAUAUCAGAUUAGCUAGUUGGGGAGGUAAAGGCUCACCAAGGCGACGAUCUGUAGCGGGUCUGAGAGGAUGAUCCGCCACACUGGAACUGAGACACGGUCCAGACUCCUACGGGAGGCAGCAGUGGGGAAUUUUGGACAAUGGGGGCAACCCUGAUCCAGCCAUGCCGCGUGAGUGAAGAAGGCCUUCGGGUUGUAAAGCUCUUUCGGCCGGGAAGAAAUCGUAUCAGCUAAUACCUGGUGCGGGUGACGGUACCGGCAUAAGGAGCACCGGCUAACUACGUGCCAGCCGCCGCAGUAAAAC
rnacentral:rRNA from 1 species